rnacentral:rRNA from 1 species
UACGUAGGGGGCAAGCGUUGUCCGGAUUUAUUGGGCGUAAAGAGCGUGUAGGCGGUCUGGUAGGUCCGUUGUGAAAACUCGAGGCUCAACCUCGAGACGCCGAUGGAAACCAUCAGACUAGAGUCCGGAAGAGGAGAGUGGAAUUCCUGGUGUAGCGGUGAAUGCGCAGAUAUCAGGAAGAACACCCGUGGCUAAGGCGGCUCUCUAGUACGGUACUGACGCUGAGACGCGAAAGCGUGGGAGCGAACAGG